CCCUUAGAUGUUCUGGGCCGCACGCGCGCUACACUGUUCGACGCAGCGAGUCUUAACCUUGACCGAAAGGUUUGGGUAAUCUUCAGCAAAGUCGAACGUGAUGGGGAUCGAUCAUUGCAAUUAUUGAUCGUGAACGAGGAAUUCCUAGUAAGUGCAAGUCAUCAGCUUGCGCUGAUUACGUCCCUGCCCUUUGUACACACCGCCCGUCACUACUACCGAUUGAAUGGUUUAGUGAGAUCUCUGGAUUGACGCUGACUAGGGGGCGACCCUUGGCCAGACUGUUGAGAAACUGCUCAAACUUGAUCAUUUAGAGGAAGUAAAAGUCGUAACA
rnacentral:rRNA from 1 species